UUUAUAGUCAUUUUGUGUCUUUUUGGUCAUUAUAUCUAAAGUGACUCUGGUUUCUGUUUCGAAAAUCUGUUCGUCCUGACCACAGAUCGUGACGCAGGAGUAGGGGGCGGGGCUUAACCCUCCCUGUCCCUCCCACCUGCAGCUGGUCAGCAGGUAAAUGAUUAAACUGUGUACCUGUACAGUGAAACCAGUCUGCAGCCCGGAAGACAAACACCGCUGGACAGAAAGGCGAAGUUUUAGAAAGACAACAAUGUUUUAGGUUCCACAAACAUUUGUUUCAGUUGUCCGUCAUCAUCACCUGGACUCAUGUUUUUGUCUAAAACCCACAAAAGUACAGUCGGCGCCGAGCUCACUUGAAGUUUCACCCACAAGCUAAAAUCGUGACGCAGGAGUAGGGGGCGGGGCUUAACCCUCCCUGUCCCUCCCACCUGCAGCUGGUCAGCAGGUAAAUGAUUAAACUGUGUACCUGUACAGUGAAACCAGCCUGCAGCCCGGAAGACAAACACCGCUGGACAGAAAUGCGAAGUUUUAGAAAGACAACAAUGUUUUAGGUUUCACAAACAUUUGUUUCAGUUGUCCGUCAUCAUCACCUGGACUCAUGUUUGUGUCUAAAGCCCACAAAAGUACAGUCGUCGUCGAGCUCACUUGAAGUUUCACCCACAAGCUAAAAUCGUGACGCAGGAAUAGGGGGCGGGGCUUAACCUCCCUGUCCCUCCCACCUGCAGCUGGUCAGCAGGUAAAUGAUUAAACUGUGUACCUGUACAGUGAAACCAGCCUGCAGCCCGGAAGACAAACACCGCUGGACAGAAAGGCGAAGUUUUAGAAAGACAACAAUGUUUUAGGUUCUACAAACAUUUGUUUCAGUUGUCCGUUAUCAUCACCUGGACUCAUGUUUUUGUCUAAAGCCCACAAAAGUACAGUCGGCGUCGAGCUCACUUGAAGUUUCACCCACAAGCUAAAGUUGUCUUUUUUUAGUCAUAUUGUGUCUUUUUUUAGUCAUUUUGUGUCUUUUUCUUAAGUCAUUUUGUGUCUUUUUUUAGUCAUUUUGUGUCUUUUUGUGUCUUUUCUAGUCAUUGUGUCUUUUUUA